UGCUGAUGGGAUGACUUCUCUAAGCUGAGUGACCGUACGAUGUGUGUAGACAGGGCAGAGUAACUAGUAAUAGUAUAUAUAUAGUAAUGAAUAUCUGCUGCUGAUGGGAUGACUUCUCUAAGGUGAGUGACCGUACGGUGUGCGUGGACACCUGAGAGAACCAUAGGCCAGACUGAGCAUCUACCAUCCCACUAUCAGAUUAGGGAUGGUGGCAAUUUAUGCUUUUUGGCCCAAACUUUUUAUCUGACAUCACCCACUGAUUAACAUUGGGGUGGCAGGUAGCCUAGUGGUUAGAGUGUAGGGGCGGCAGGUAGCCUAGUGGUUAGAGUGUAGGGGCGGCAGGUAGCCUAGUGGGUAGAGUGUAGGGGUGGCAGGUAGCCUAGUGGUUAGAGUGUAGGGGUGGCAGGUAGCCUAGUGGUUAGAGUGUAGGGGUGGCAGGUAGCCUAGUGGUUAGAGUGUAGGGGUGGCAGGUAGCCUAGUGGUUAGAGUGUAGGGGUGGCAGGUAGCCUAGUGGUUAGAGUGUAGGGGUGGCAGGUAGCCUGGUGGUUAGAGUGUAGGGGUGGCAGGUAGCCUAGUGGUUAGAGUGUAGGGGAGGCAGGUAGCCUAGUGGUUAGAGUGUAGGGGAGGCAGGUAGCCUAGUGGUUAGAGUGUAGGGGAGGCAGGUAGCCUAGUGGUUAGAGUGUAGGGGCGGCAGGUAGCCUAGUGGGUAGAGCGUUUGGCCAAGUAACCGAAAGGUUGCUGAAUCAAAUCCCCGAGCUGACAAGGUAAAAAUCUGUCGUUCUGCCCCUGAACAAGACUUGUAACCCAUUGUUCCC
ensembl:lncRNA